rnacentral:lncRNA from 1 species
AAAUCGCAAUUAAAAUCAAAUUAUUAAGAGAUUUAGCUAAAACGGAGGGCCAUACUGCAGUGUGCGAAUUAUAUGGGGGGCCGAUUGGGAAAUAUCCCGCUUCCCCAAAACGCAGCACUUCAUGGUGGAUUAAAUCGAAAUAACAAAAAAAACAAAAGAUUAGACUUAAAAGGAAAUAAAAAUAAAAAAGGAACCAGAUUGUAACACACUUGCAAAGUGGAGGGACUAGGGUUGUAAAUAACCCAUUGAUCGUAACACGUGGAUCCCCCAUGGAGCGGGUCGGGUGGCGCACCGAUCUGGAUCAGUACGGCACCGUUUUGGAGCCACUGAUCAGACUCCAAAUGACGCCGUUUAAACGUCCUCUGGGAAACAGAAAUAAAAAGAAAAAAGAAACCCUAAAUCAUUCAGUCAUUCAAAGAAAACAGAAAGAAAAAAAAAGAAAUAUUUUGUCCUCCCCUCUCCC